GUUAACACGCNUACGCCUGUUUUUCAGUUGGUACGUUUUAACAAUGUGUACCGGAUUAUAGUAGACAAAAAUACCCUCAUUUAUCAUGGAUUCUAAGUUUUAAGAUCAAGGAUAUUUAAAUAAUUUUCAUUCUCAAAACUAAAAAAAAAAAAGAAACCCCCAAACCCUUACUCACCUUCCUCAUUCCUCUCAACCCUUUCUUUUUCAUCUCUCUCACUCCAACAUUUUAUCUGUCAUCUUUAUUGCCCCAAUUGAAAAAUAAAUCAGAAACUCUUGCCUAACCCUAAUCCACCUUCCUCACUUCUCCAACACUCCAACAUUUUAUCUGUCAUCUUUAUUGCCC
rnacentral:lncRNA from 1 species